UACGAAGGGGGCUAGCGUUGCUCGGAAUCACUGGGCGUAAAGGGUGCGUAGGCGGGUCUUUAAGUCAGGGGGGAAAUCCUGGAGCUCAACUCCAGAACUGCCUUUGAUACUGAGGAUCUUGAGUUCGGGAGAGGUGAGUGGAACUGCGAGUGUAGAGGUGAAAUGCGCAGAUAUCAGGAGGAACACCGGUGGCGAAGGCGGCUCUCUGGACCUGUCCUGACGCUCAGGCGCGAAAGCUAGGGGAGCAAACAGG
rnacentral:rRNA from 1 species